GGAGAGAUGGGUGAGUGGCUGAAACCAACAGUUUGCUAAACUGUCAUACCUUUAACGGGUAUCGGGGGUUCGAAUCCCCCUCUCUCCG
rnacentral:tRNA from 1 species